UACGUAGGGUGCAAGCGUUGUCCGGAAUUAUUGGGCGUAAAGAGCUCGUAGGCGGUCUGUCACGUCGAAAGUGAAAACUCAGGGCUUAACCCUGAGCCUGCUUCCGAUACGGGCAGACUAGAGGUAUGCAGGGGAGAAUGGAAUUCCUGGUGUAGCGGUGAAAUGCGUAGAGAUCCGGAGGAACACCAAAGGCGAAGGCAGUGUCCUGGGGAGUACCUGACGCUCAGGUGCGAAAGCCAGGGGAGCGAACGGG
rnacentral:rRNA from 1 species